GAGACACCUGGCUCAGAAACUCCUACAAGUGGGUGUGGAGCUAUAGGAAACGGGGAGCAGAGUCCUAGUGUCUCUUAGCAAAGCGGUGUGAGGGCAAAGUGGCUACAGAAAGAAAGAAGACGUCAGGAAAGUAGGAAGUCUAUUCAGUGACUUGUGCUUAGCCUGGUUUCGGGUUUCCGGCAUGUUCACACGCGACCCCCGGAAGACCAGUCGAAUGGAAUGAGGGGUGAUCCUUUCCUGGCCAGGGUUGUUAACGGAAGGGCUUGGCUCAUAAGCCAAUCACACCUUCGAGAGGGUGGAGUUUUCAUCGGUGCUUCCAUCUCUAGCCAAUCUGAGGGAAGGCAAAAGGGCACUCCUCCAAUGGGAGCUGAGGAGCCCGCGGUAGUGAUGGAGCCCCGCUAUCCUGCCAUCGCUCCGCCGAUCGUCGCGUGAAGCGUCCGUGUGUCUGCGAGAUCUUGCUUGGGCCAGGUAUCCAUUCUCCUGCGGCAGCUGUAGAACCUACGGAGGCUAGAGGUCCGUGGGUGGUGGAGGAUCAUUUGCGUAGCAAAAAAAGGGAAGGCGAGUGCUCCUGCAGCCCCUCCAGACGGCACCCAGAACAUCCACCAUUAUUAGAACCAUCACCCUGCAGCUAGCUUGGACAUCAUUAAAAGGGCUCAUCAGGAGUAGCUGAUAUUCAUGAAGACAGAGUUUCAGGGUUUCCGCCUGGAGCUACACCCUCCAGAAGCCCCUGCUUGGCCUCCCUGCACCCAACCCCAUCCCAACCACUUACAACUUGGGCUGUGCUUGGUGUUUCCUGGCAACUGGAACACAGACUCCUCCGACUGCUCCACAGGCCCUUUGUCCUCAAUGAGCAGAAGACAACAGAAGCUGGCUCCUGAAGAGGCUGUGCAGAUGGCAGAGCACCUUACUGGCCUUGCUUAGCACCUUGACCACAGAGCAGUCACUGAGUACUGCAUCUGGAAUCUGUGCUCACCACCAACAGGGACUACAGAGAGAGUUGUCAGGCCCCACGUCACUAAGGGCCACCCUCUAGGGUUCCCUCCAGAGAAGGCUCCACUAGGAAAAGGGGCUCUUCAUACUCUUCACUGCCUUGAGUCCUACCCAGACACCUCUAGGGCUGCAGAGGUCAGUAGCUUUUCACCUAUCUAAUCCACAUCCCAGCUGCAAACCGCUGUGAACUAUUUGUAUUUUCAUUUGUAUCCUUUUGGCGAGAAGAGUUUUAAAUAUUGCUUCACUCCCUUUAAUAGUUAUAGUGCUGCUGAGAAUUUAUUUUUGUCUCCUUUGGAUAUAGUUUUAGAUAUAGUUUCUUAGGAAUUGCUCCUCCAUUUUGUCUGUUUCCAAAUCCACUGGCCUAAAGUUCCGUUUUUAAAGUCUCUGCUCUGUAUAACCUGUAGCGAUGUCUCCUUUCUCAUUGCUAAUACUGGUUAUUUGUGCCUUCUCCCUUUUUUUCUUGAUCAAUCUCACCAGAGGUUUGUCUAUUUUACUAGUCUUUACAAAGAACCAACUUUUGGCUCUGUUACUCCUCUCUAUUGUGUCUUUGUUCUCUAUUUCUUUAAUUUCUGCUCUUAUCUUUUUUGACCUCCUUCCUUCCACAUUUUUUGGAUUUAUUCUGCUGUUGUUUUUCUGAUUUCUUAAACUGUAUGUUGAGCUCAUUCAUUUUCAGUCCUUUUUCUUUUUCUGUUUGCUUGGUUUGGGUGUUUGUUUUUCUUUGAGACAGGGUCUCACUCUAUAGCCCAGGCUAACCUCAAAUUCAUGCUAAUUUCCUCCCUAGCCUCCCCGGUGCAGGGAUUACAGGCAUGAGGCACUGAGCCUAGCUCUCAGCCUUUCUUGUUUUCUAAUUUAUAUAUUUAAAAGCUACAAAUGUCCUGCUAAUGCUACUUGCCUACGUGAUCAUAUGUGGUAGUUACUUCAUUGUUGUUCAGUUCCCAGAACUUCAGUGAAUCGAUUAUCAUUACUUCUUUGACUCAUGAAUUAUACAGAAGUAUGUUUUUAGUUCCCAAAUGUUUGGGGGAUUUUUAAGUUUGUUCUAUUACUGAAAUCUAUCUUAAUUAUGUUCAGAUGAUGUGGUCUAUGUGAACUGAAAUUUAUUGAGACUUGUUCUAUUGCUUAGUACAUGAUUGAUAAUUAUUAAUGUUUCCUAUGUGCUCUAUAAGAAUGUGUCCUCUAAUUAUUGAAUAUAGAGAUCUAUCUGUGUCUAUUAGCAACUAUCUUAUUCAAGUUGUAUUUAACUAAACUGAUUGUUUUUGUUAUGAUCUACCAAUAGUUUUUAAAACAAACUCUGACACUGGAGUUAUCUGUUUUCUUCUUAUAGUUUCCUUUUUUAACAUAAAUUAAGAAUUGCUAUAUUUCUGGUAAAUGUGUAAUAUCCCUCUCUCUAUUUCUGACAAUAGAAGAAUUCUGCUAGAUUAUCUUGUAUUAAUGUAACAGCACAAGCUUUUCUUCUUGUUAGGGUUUUGUGGCAUAAUUUUCUAUCUUUUUACUUUUAAGAAUUUUUUACACCUUUGUGUUUUAAUUAUAUUUCUUGAAAACAGCAUAUGGCUGGACAUUUUGUAAAAAUCUAAUCUAAAGCUGGGCGUGGUGGCGCACGCCUUUAAUCCCAGCACUUGGGAGGCAGGGGCAGGUAGAUCUCUGUGCAUUUGAGGCCAGCCUGGUCUACAUAGUGUGUUUCAGGCCAGCCAGGGCUAUCCAGUGAGACCCUGUCUCAAAAAACACUUAUCUAAUGACCUCUGCCUUUAAAAAUUGGCAAGUUUAGUUUACAUUUGCUGCAGGAUGUUUGGACAUGUUUCUACCAUCACUUUGUUAUUUUGGUUUUCCACUACUUUUUGUAUGUUUAAUUUUCUCUUUUCUCACCUGCUUUUUUAGUUUUAAGUUUUUUCCCUUCCUGUUAGGAUUUAUUUUUCUAUUCUUUGAUAUUCUGGCAUGUGUGUUUAGCUUACAAAGCUUAAACACUAUUUUCAGUGUAUCUUGAAGAGUGUGAGAAGCUUAAAAACUAGUGAUUUUAGUCAUUCCUCUCCUGACCACUUGAUUUUGUUCGUAAAAUGUAUUCCUUGUUUUUUUGUAAUCUCAUGAUUAUAUAUUAUCCAUAUUUAUUCCUUGUUUCUUUUGUAACCUCAUAAUUAUAUAUUGUCAGUAUUUAUUCCUUGGUUUUUUGUAAUCUCAUGAUUAUAUAUUAUCAGUAUUAUUUUAUGUAGACUAGCAGUAUUUGUUCUGAUUUACAUGCAUACAUUAUUGCAUCUCAGACCCCCUUAAUGGCAUCAUUUUCUUUCAUUGUGAAUACAGUGUUUAUCCUUUUAGUUCAGAUCUCUUGGUAUUGAACUCUUUGCUGUGUGUAAAAAGCUUUAUCUUUAUCCUUAGAAGAGUUUGCGCAACCUUUAAAAUACAUGUAUCUGUUCUCUUUGACUGUGAGACGUAUGCCUUGUUGCCUUUAAAAAGUACACUAUCAGUCUAAUUGUGGUUUGGUUUCAUUUGUUU